CCUACGGGAGGCAGCAGUGAGGAAUAUUGGUCAAUGGACGAGAGUCUGAACCAGCCAAGUAGCGUGAAGGAUGACUGCCCUAUGGGUUGUAAACUUCUUUUAUAUGGGAAUAAAAUGUUCCACGUGUGGGAUUUUGUAUGUACCAUAUGAAUAAGGAUCGGCUAACUCCGUGCCAGCAGCCGCGGUAAUACGGAGGGUCCGAGCGUUAUCCGGAUUUAUUGGGUUUAAAGGGAGCGUAGGUGGAUUGUUAAGUCAGUUGUGAAAGUUUGAGGCUCAACCGUAAAAUUGCAGUUGAAACUGGCAGUCUUGAGUACAGUAGAGGUGGGCGGAAUGCGUGGUGUAGCGGUGAAAUGCUUAGAUAUCACGAAGAACUCCGAUUGCGAAGGCAGUUCACUGGACUGCAACUGACACUGAGGCUCGAAAGUGUGGGUAUCAAACAGGAUUAGAUACCCCUGUAGUC
rnacentral:rRNA from 1 species